AAGACACUAGUAAAAUUGUUAUUACACUGCCUUGUCGAGGCAGAAUUGUGGGUUAGACCCCCGCGUGUCUUG
rnacentral:tRNA from 1 species